AGCAAGUACCAACGACCGGAUUUGGUGUGUGGUAGUAACAGGAACCGACCUGAGUGAGCGUGUGGACAACAGUUAUCCAGGAAUUCCAUUGUGCUGAACCAUCAACAAUGAACACAAUGUGUCCUGGCAUGAAGUUUCGUCUUGGAUUGCACCAUUUCUGUCUUUGUUGCAGUUGUGGAAGAUAUUCCUUAAUCCACUUUUCCAGAAUAAAUCCAACAUAUAUUGGACUUAUUUCCAUGUGCGCUCGGCUCUAUGGAGAUCCAAGUCAUCUUCUUCAGGCAAGAAACUCAAUUGACUGGUUCGGUGGAUUAACAGCUUGAACGCUAAGGACAUCGCCACCCGAAUCUUUGAAGAGUUAACAUUGUCAUAUCCGUGGAUCAUCAUGUGUGAACUUAAGCUCUGAAAUACUUUAUCACAUGUUCUGUCUUAAUAAGAAAACCAACAGAAUACAUUCACUGACAAUCAUUCUUCUUAACAUGCGAAUAUAUGAGUAUUUUAGUAUACUUGUCAGUGAUUUCAGAUAAUGUGUUUGUUAUCAAAAAGGUCCCAAGCUAUUAUCUAAAACAUGUGGUUAUCAGCAUAUAUUUACCAUCCUCUUCAUAAGGAACACCUGCACAGUGUAAUUAAAUUCAAUAAGAACCUUGACACGAAUUCUGCUUUUACAUGAUCUCUGCAUUUCCUUUUUGCCAUGUAGGUUAAUAAUUUGGAGUAAAUAUUAAGAGCAUUUUUCAGUGCAAAUACUCUACUGCCCUCACAAUAACCUCAGCAGCCAAUAUAAAAUGUUACCUAUUGGACAGUGCUAGCGAAAAAGUAAAUGGUACCAGUAGAAAUUGUGGCAGAGGCUUUGUAUGAGAUUGCAUAAGUUGGAUACAUGUGAAUGAAUAUAACAUCUUUGUUAUGGCUUCAUUUUCUCUUUAAAAUUGAUGCUGUAAUGUCUUAUAAAUGUCCUAACUGUCCCUCCAUCCUGUCCACCUGUCCUGUCUCAGUGGUUUGGUGAAAGCCAAGCUUGUCAGUCUGUUGUAUGCGCUGCUGUUGGGGUGCUUAUCUUUGGAGUGUCGGCCGCUGGGGCUUAUGGUAAAUACUCACCUGGAUACUCACAUGUGUUUAAAUCAGCCACACAGAGAUGCAGGGAUGUCUGGAUGCAAAGAGGAACUAGUUAUUUUAUCUCUUGAAAUAUAAACUGUCAUGGUUCUCGGUCAUUUAACCCAGUGUUUUGAGUUUCUUGUGUUUUUUGUCAUUUUGUAUUAUGUUAGUUUACUGUGUUAUUCUAGGGUUGAUUCUGUAGUCCCUUGGUUAUUCUGUUUAGCUUUUGUUUAUUAGAUUCCCUUUUGUGUCUUUGCUCUCUGUGUUUCCCUGUGGGCGUCUGUAUUUAUUUAAUUGUGUGAGUCCUUGUGCCGUGUUUCUCCUUGUGUUUUAUUACGUCAUGUUUAUCUAUGUUCCCCAGCUCGUCAUGUCCUCUCUCUCCCUCGUGCUCCUCCGUGUUCUCUCUCCCCCUCCAGUCAGCAUCUCCGUGUACUUCCCGUAUAACUAUGAUAUUCUCCCAUCAGUCACAUGGCGUUUGCUCUUCCCCUUUCUCGUUAUGACUAUUUAUAUCAGCUGUGUUCCCCGUGUGCUCACAUGUCCCUCGUUAUCUUUCUGUGUAUUUAUGUCAGGGUCUCCCUCAGUUUGGUAUCACGCCCUCCCUCAUGGCUGUGUCUCUCUCUAUGCUUCCACAAGUGUAUUAUUAGUAGAACUUUCCCAGUUUAGUUUUGUAUCGCCUUUCAUCCAGCAAAUAAAGCUCAGAUGUUUUGAGUUCA